GCACUGACUGUUCUGGCCUGCACAGAGCCAGCACAGGUGUCUCGGUGCCUGUGGAAUAUUUUUUUGGCAGCCCAAAUAAUCCAUUCACAGACAGAGGAGACGGACUGUGCUUCAAUUGCAUGUGUGCAGUGUGGCCUCCCCCUUAAGUAUAAGCAGGCAAAUUCAGUUUUCAACUAUGCUGGAACCUGCCAGGGUGAUUUUUAUGGAGUUCCUUUGAAUUUGCCACCCAUGGAAGUGAGAUCAGAGGUGCAGCAUGGAGUCUGUACUUAAUAACGAUACUCAGCUGUGAGUUGGUUAGGUCCUUAACCAGCCUCACUGAACUUCAUAGCAAAAUUCAUAGUGACUUAUAAUGCAGUAAAAUAUUUAUAACAAAACACAAUGAAAAGAGGAUUUUAUUAUAAGCAGUGCAGAUAUCAGCAGGACUUAGGUGUGCGAUAGUUUUGAAUAAUUUAGUGGUUAGUGUGCAAUUCUGUGUAAAUGUAGUUUUCUGUAAUUAUGCCACUUUAGUUUUUGAAGAUCCAGAAUUCACAGGGAACUACUGUGGCUGGAAGGCAAAAAACGUGAAAGGAACAGAAGACUGGGAUAAGGAUACAUGCACUGCUAUCAUCUCUCAGCUCAUCAGAAAACAAAGGAAACAGACAGCUGGAGAACUAUCUGAGAUGAGUAAAAUUGAAAACUACCAAUUUUGGCAGUCUCCAGAUGUGCCUGACCUCCCAUCAGAAAGGCAAAGAGUGGAUGAAGACGGACAUGACAACCGAGAAGAGCUAUGGGAGAAGGAAGUCGACAAUCUAGUAGCUUGGACUAACACUCUGUCUAACAAAAGAUUAGAGGAUUAAAUCAGAGAAAUUGUAUAUAUAGAUAAGCAAGUACUGUAUUAUUUUUUAAACCAUCUAAGAACUUUUAUACUGUUCUUGUCAGGCAAAUCUUCAGUUGUGACUUGGUCUUUUUGGCGUGGUGCUAUUGGCUUCAGUUAGAGGGUGAGUAGGAAUGGAACAGGAAUCUGUUUUGCCUGUGCAAGCAUGGCUUUUUACCAGUAUUUGUGCCUCCCUGUUGCCCUUGGUGGUUUGUUGCUGUGAAAUUGUUUGGAUCUUAUUACCUAAAUAGCUUGCUAUUUUAGGUAUUCUAACAUCUACAGGGCCUAGAGCAAUGACAAGAUAUAGUAACAACUAUGAAGAAGCAUCUAGCUUUGACUGCACAGGAGAAAAGAUCUAUUGAGUGAGAAGAUGCUAUUGCUUGUAUCAGACUAUGGUUGUG
rnacentral:lncRNA from 1 species